UACGGAAGGCAGCAGUAGGGAAUAUUGCACAAUGGGCGAAAGCCUGAUGCAGCUAUGCCGCGUGUAUGAAGAAGGCCUUAGGGUUGUAAAGUACUUUCAUCGGGGAGGAAAAAACAAAACUAAUAAUUUUAUUUCUUGACGUUACCCGAAAAAGAAGCACCGGCUAACUCCGUGCCAGCAGCCGCGGUAAUACGGAGGGUGCUAGCGUUAAUCAGAAUUACUGGGCGUAAAGAGCACGUAGGUGGUUUUUUUAAGUCAGAUGUGAAAUCCCUGGGCUUAACCUAGGAACUGCAUUUUGAAACUGAAAUACUAGAGUAUCGUAGAGGGAGGUAGAAUUCUAGGUGUAGCGGUGAAAUGCGUAGAUAUCUGGAGGAAUACCUGUGGCGAAAGCGGCCUCCUAAACGAAUACUGACACUGAGGUGCGAAAGCGUGGGGAGCAAACAGGGAUUAGAUACC
rnacentral:rRNA from 1 species